rnacentral:tRNA from 1 species
GCUCACAUAGCUCAGUCGGCAGAGCGCGUACUUGGUAAGGUCGAGGUCAUCGGUUCAUAUCCGAUUGUGAUCACCA